UACAGAGGUCUCAAGCGUUGUUCGGAUUUAUUGGGCGUAAAGGGUGCGUAGGCUGCGGGGUUAGUUGGAUGUGAAACGCCACGGCUCAACCAUGGCACGGCAUUCAAUACUGCCUUGCUAGAGCACUAGUGAGGAGGCUGGAAUUUACGGUGUAGCAGUGAAAUGCGUAGAUAUCGUAAGGAACAUCAGUGGCGAAGGCGAGCCUCUGAAUAGUAUGCUGACGCUGAGGCACGAAAGCCAGGGGAGCAAACGGG
rnacentral:rRNA from 1 species